rnacentral:tRNA from 1 species
GGGGUUGUGGCUCAGAGAUAGAGUGCUCACCUAGCAUGUGUGAGGCACUGGGUUCGAUCUUCAGCAACACAU